AUUGAACGCUGGCGGCAGGCCUAACACAUGCAAGUCGAGCGGAUGAAGGGAGCUUGCUCCUGGAUUCAGCGGCGGACGGGUGAGUAAUGCCUAGGAAUCUGCCUGGUAGUGGGGGAUAACGUCCGGGAACGGGCGCUAAUACCGCAUACGUCCUGAGGGAGAAAGUGGGGGAUCUUCGGACCUCACGCUAUCAGAUGAGCCUAGGUCGGAUUAGCUAGUUGGUGGGGUAAAGGCCUACCAAGGCGACGAUCCGUAACAGGUCUGAGAGGAUGAUCAGUCACACUGGAACUGAGACACGGUCCAGACUCCUACGGGAGGCAGCAGUGGGGAAUAUUGGACAAAGGGCGAAAGCCUGAUCCAGCCAUGCCGCGUGUGUGAAGAAGGUCUUCGGAUUGUAAAGCACUUUAAGUUGGGAGGAAGGGCAGUAAGUUAAUACCUUGCUGUUUUGACGUUACCAACAGAAUAAGCACCGGCUAACUUCGUG
rnacentral:rRNA from 1 species